rnacentral:rRNA from 1 species
ACGCUCCUUCGGGAGUUAUUAAAGUGGCGCACGGGUGAGUAACGCGUGGGAACCUGCCUUUCUCUGCGGGAUAACGGUUGGAAACGACCGCUAAUACCGCAUACGCCCUACGGGGGAAAGGUCCGCCGGAGAAAGAGGGGCCCGCGUCUGAUUAGCUUGUUGGUAGGGUAAUGGCCUACCAAGGCGACGAUCAGUAGCUGGUCUGAGAGGAUGAUC